GACGAACGCUGGCGGCGUGCCUAAUACAUGCAAGUUGAGCGCUGAAGGUUGGUACUUGUACCAACUGGAUGAGCAGCGAACGGGUGAGUAACGCGUGGGGAAUCUGCCUUUGAGCGGGGGACAACAUUUGGAAACGAAUGCUAAUACCGCAUAAAAACUUUAAACACAAGUUUUAAGUUUGAAAGAUGCAAUUGCAUCACUCAAAGAUGAUCCCGCGUUGUAUUAGCUAGUUGGUGAGGUAAAGGCUCACCAAGGCGAUGAUACAUAGCCGACCUGAGAGGGGGAACGGCCACCUUGGGAAUGGGAACAGGCCCAAACUCCUACGGGAGGCAGCAGUAGGGAAUCUUCGGCAAUGGACGAAAGUCUGACCGGGCAACGCCGCGUGAGUGAAGAAGGUUUUCGGAUCGUAAAACUCUGUUGGUAGAGAAGAACGUUGGUGAGAGUGGAAAGCUCAUCAAGUGACGGUAACUACACAGAAAGGGACGGCUAACUACGUG
rnacentral:rRNA from 1 species